rnacentral:rRNA from 1 species
UACCUAACCAGAAAGCCACGGCUAACUACGUGCCAACAGCCGCGGUAAUACGUAGGUGGCAAGCGUUGUCCGGAAUUAUUGGGCGUAAAGCGCGCGCAGGCGGUUUCUUAAGUCUGAUGUGAAAGCCCCCGGCUCAACCGGGGAGGGUCAUUGGAAACUGGGGAACUUGAGUGCAGAAGAGGAAAGUGGAAUUCCACGUGUAGCGGUGAAAUGCGUAGAGAUGUGGAGGAACACCAGUGGCGAAGGCGACUCUCUGGUCUGUAACUGACGCUUAGGCGCGAAAGCGUGGGGAGCGAACAGGAUUAGAUACCCUGGUAGUCCACGCCGUAAACGAUGAGUGCUAAGUGUUAGAGGGUUUCCGCCCUUUAGUGCUGCAGCAAACGCAUUAAACACUCCCCCCGGGGAGUACGCUCGCAAGACUGAAACUCCAAGGAAUUAACGGGGGCCCCCACAAUCAGUGGAACAUGUUGUUUAAUUCCAAGCGACCCGAAAAAACUUAACCAGGUCUUGACUUCCUCUUACAACCCUAGAAAUAAGGGCU